rnacentral:SRP_RNA from 1 species
GGUCCUGCGCAAUGAAAACUUUCGAACCCCGUCAGGUCCGGGAGGAAGCAGCGGUAAGGAAGCCCUUUCAUGUGCCGCGGGGGAGCCUGGUCGGAGCUAACUAUCACUGUAACGCUCGGAGGGAUAGAUCGACGGAGGGUGCACGG